rnacentral:lncRNA from 1 species
GUCGUAGAAGACGGGCACCACAGUCUGGCCGUCCGAGUCCAUACAUUCCAGAAUUUGGACGAGUUCUUUGAGGCACCAGGUGGAAGAAGCAUAGUUUGGAGAGAAAACUACGAUCGAGACCCUCGAGUUUCGAAUGGCUGUGAGGAGGUCGGAGAGGUGGUUGCCUUUUCGGAGCUCUUCGGCGUCGAUGAAAGUGUGGAUGGCUUUCUGGUCCAGAGCUCUGUAGAGAUGGCUGACGACAGAGCUCUGUAGAGAUGGCUGACGAAGGACCUGCGAGUGUCUUCGCCUCUGAAGUUGAGGAAGACGUCGUAUGUCCAACGACGACGACCGGAGGAAGACGACGAGUCAGAAGAAGUAGAAGAAGAAGCCAUUGACGGAGAAUGAUCAGCGAUGAACAGAGGAGUGCAGGUCAACGAGCUUCGUGGAAAAUGAUGAAACGUAGAGGGAAGAAAAAAAAUGUGGCAUUUGUCGUAGUGAGUGAGAAGGUGAUGGGCCGUGCCUGGGUGCGUUUGGUACGUAGGACGGGACGGGACGGAACGGGACGGAACGGGACGAGGCGUUCCGUCCCGCGUUUGGUGCGCCAAAAUGGGUGGAACGGGCUGUUCCACGGGACAGAUUUUGGGUGUUUUUGCGUCCCACCUCCCCCUGGAACGGGUUUGUUUCACGUCUGUGGAACACAAUGUUUUACCAUUUUAAGACAAAUAUACCCCAUGUCUUUUUCAAAAAUUACACCUUCGUUCCGUCCCGUCUGCGUACCAAACGCACCCUUUUUUAACAUACGAUAUUAUUAUUAUUAUUUUUUUUUGUCAAUUAUGAUAUUAUUAUUUGUCUCACUAUAAUUUAACAAUAAUAUGAUUUAAAUUCGUCUUUGGUAUUACUGUACUUUAAAAAAAAAAAAAAACUAUUCAUGAGCUAUGAGAAUAAACAACGGUAAAAUAAAGUUGUUGAGUGUUUAGUAAACUUUUUUUUGUUAAAGAACUCCUAUAAAAAAUAUCAAUGUAUUAAAAAAGAAAUUGCCAAAGAGAAUAAUGUAAGGACAAAGAUUGUAAUUUUGUAAAAUAUAAGAGGUUACACUUGCUAUUUGAAAAUUUCAUUAAAUGACCAUUGAAAAAACCUUUUUUUUUAAAGCAAGGUAGACCAUGUUUUUGCUUUUCUAUACUUUUAUACUGUCACUUGUCAGUCACUAACAGCAAUUAAAAAAAACAUUUUUUUGUUUUACCAAAUUUACAUUUGAUGUUUCAAAUUUUUUAAUAAACUGUUUUUUUUUUUUUAAGCACAACAAUCUCAAAUGAGCGCGAUCAGUUCAAGAAAGAACAAGUCACCACCCGAAUCUCGACGGUAAUACCAAAAUUGGCGAGAGAUUUGCCUCAAAAUUGUCUCUUGCUAUUUGGCUCUAAUGGUACUAUUCUAUCUUUGUUUGUCCGCGAGAAGUCUUAAGUUUGAUUUCAAAUUUGAUAUUUGAUUAAUUUGCCCUCUAAAAUUAAUUUUUCGUCUUAAUUUAUAUUUUUAAACUGAAUUGUCUUACUUUGCCUCUAAAACAACUAAAAUCGAGUCAUUUCACCCCAUUUUCGUUAUGAACGUCAAAUGAAAGGGCAGCCAAGACAUUUCAUGUCAUGCUGAUAGUAAUGAGCCUUUGUUUGGUGAGGUAAGAAAUUUUCAAACUGCCCUAAACCUCUAAAAUUGUUAAAUCUUUGCCAACAUGGACACAAAAGUGAGGCAAAUUCAGUUUCAAAAGAUAAAGUGAGAUUAAAUCAGUUUUAGGGUGUCGAACCUUAAAACCACUGCCUAUUUAAUUAUAAUUAACUCAUAGCAUGAUUUAGUCAUGAGCCCUCCAAUAUUGUUUUAUUGAAAGAAAGAAAAAAAAAUUUACGUCUUGUAACUUAGUUAAAAAGUAAUCACUCCACCGUGGUGAGAAAAAUUGUGGCCUGCUUGUUUGAACCAUCAUUGUAACGACGAAUUAAUUCAUGUAAAACAUUCACAUGGUAGGUCUUUUACCAGAAUGGCAUCGUCAAAAGAAACGGGAUGCAUUGCAGAAACUGCUUUCUUAGUCACAUACUCUGCAGACAAGCAUCGACGAAAGAUUUGCAUUAGCACACAGGCAACCAACAUUAGCGCACAGUCGUUGAUCAACAAAAAUAUCAAAUGACAUUGACUAGUGAUUGGUCAAAAAACAAUUGUCAAAAUCUUGAAAUACCGGAUAUGCCAAGCAAAACUCGAAAGAUUUGCAUUAGCACACAGGCAACCAGCAUAUGUCCUAGACAAAUGAAAAAGGUUCCAGCUAAAACGGAUCUCAUCGAAAGCCAAAAAAGAAAGAGCUUCGUCGACAAACUGUUUAUGCAGCAGCGCCAGCACCCUUUCCCUUCUUCCUCUGGAGCUUCUUCAUGUAAAACUCAAGUUCCUUACCCUCCAAGAUGUACCUGACGAAAAGUAUGCAAGACAAAAUAAGAUGAUGCAAACAAAGGAAUACAACAAGAGAAUAGUAACACGAGUUAUUAGACCCACCCAUCACAUCUGCCACAUUGGCCUGGACGGGAAGAUAUGCAAGCCAGCAAUCUCCCACCUCCAAACUGCUCUUCAAUAUGGGGGUCUAGAGUGCGACCUUGCUGACGUUUCUCAAGUUUCCUGGCAACAUGAUUACUCUUCUAUGCUUCCUCUGUAGUUCCUUCUCCUUCCUGCUUGUACAUAUAAAGAUACAACUCGUUAGUGUGAUAAUGAACUAUGUAAUUCAAACUACCCUCACAAAUCACAAUGCAAUUCAAGAACUAUGCGCAGUUACAAGUCAGUGCAACCAUUCAGAAGUGAACACUAAUUUUCAGGCCAAGUUGUUCUACAUUGACAACGAUGAUAUGUAAGUAAGUAGAGGGUCAAUAAAGCACAUGAGGCAGUGAUGAUUAGAAGAUUAUGGCAAGUAGAGGAGGGUUAACUAACCACUGGACGAAACAUAAAUGAGUAAUAAAACCCAUUUAGAUUCAUUCAAGUAAAAAAAAAAAUAUAUAUAUAUAUAUAUAUAUAUUUCUAUUUUGUAGUUUUUGAUGAAAUUAUAUAAAUUUUAAAUAUAAACAGAUACUUAGCAAAAUAUAAUAAAUUUACUUAAACCCGUCUAGUCCGCUUAGGCGCCUGCUUAGACCCAGCCAAGGCGCCUAGACCCCUCCCCGCCGCCCGAUUAGGGCCAAGCGUCUUUUAGAACGAAGUGGCUGCUCGUGAAAUGUUAACUUAAAGGUAGUUCUGUAUCGUUAAAAGUAUACACCAAGUUCUACUUUUGUGUGUGUUUCAAAAUAAUCGGCGACUUGAAUUUCCAUACAUCCCAUAAGCUCUUGUUCUAAAUUUGAAUGCACACAGUUGUACAUAGCAUGAUCCCUACAUUUCUAAAUGUGAAUGAGCAAAACGUGAUACAUAUUGACACAAUCAACCGACGAUGGUGGAAGAAGUUGAGAGGGAAUUUGUGAAGGAGAAAGUCAAGCAAAUUGGACAUUCUUUUUUCUUGUGUUUACGACUAGCUCAUGAGUAUAUUGUGACUUUCGCGUUCCCGACGGGUCUUACGAAAUCAUGAGUGACUGCUCUCCUUGGUCUUCCAUAACCCCUUGCUGCAUCCAGCUGAAAAUCUUAGUAGCGAUCACGGCCGGUGGACCUCUCACGGUGACGGGACUUGUGCCUCUGGAAGCACGCUCAUCCCUAUCCCUAGAGCUCCUGUGAGAGCGCUCUGCUCUGUCAACCGAGCUCCUGUUGUGAUAGUGUUCUUCUGUCUCAGUUGAGCUCCUUACAGAACUGUCCUCUGGGUCAAUAGAUCUUUUGUAAAACCUUUCUUCGUUCUCCACAGGACUACUUCUGCACAUGUUCGCUUCCCUGUCCAUGGACCUUUCAUGGGCACUUUCUUUUCUAUCCAUGGAGCUCCCUUUCCUUCUAGGUGGGGACGGGACCUACAAACACAAACGAGAAACAAAGACUCUGUGAUAGAAGUUCCAUGAGGAGACAUCUGAUAAUGCUCGAAAGCUAAACAAUCUAAACUGCUUUGAGCAACUGCUACUAGCUAUAGGCUGCAGAAUCAGGGAGGAAAAUACAUGGCUAAUGGGACCAAAAGAAGAAAAAUACCUGAUAGGGUGACAUGUAUCUUCCUUCUGGUGGAGGUGGGAUCCCAAGUCUCUCCAGCUCGUCAUAUGGGAUUGGACGCCUGGCUACCAAGAUAAAUAAAAGGUAAAGAGUUGCAUCUAAUUCACUGCAAGUUUACGAAAUAUAUUACAUAAUUAAGAAAGUUAUGCAUACAGGGGAGCUCGAAAUGGUUUUUCUCGUCCUCCAAAACGAAGCUGUCCAGAUUCCUUCUUACCACAGAAACCACCUCCUGGUAAAACAAUAAAAUCACAUGAACUUGACCUCUAUAGGCAUAUGCAAACUGAAGGUAGGAGAAUACAAAAACUUCACUGACCUAAUCUUCUUGGAAUCCACCCUGGCAUCAACUGCUGUCUGUUGUAAUCAACGAUAACUUUAGAAUCAUCAAUCAAGGAAUGGUGAGCUUCCUGCAAACAAGCAACUAAUCUAAGCUCAUCAUAGACAUGUUAUGACUUAUGCAGAUCAUAUUGUCCCCUAUUUUCUUUUCCUUGGCUUGCCUCGUCUAUCCACAUUUAAGACAUUAAGCAUACCAUUACGAAGUAUAUUAUCCAACCACCUACAAUUGAUAUGCACAUGUCUUUUCUCAGAAAACUAGCAAGCACAGCCAAAUCAAUUUAAUUUUGUGAGAGAAGGACGUAUCUAUGAGAACAAACACCAAUACCAAUAUGCUUGAAGCGAAAUCCAUCAACAGUACAAGAAUGUAAAAUUAGAAUUCCCCGCCACAUAGACAUGCAUCUACAUAUAUGAAAAUAAUUGAAGAGAUUCCAUGUCGUAUAGACUAGAGAGAGUGGGCAAAAAGUUGGAGCACCUUAUAUGCACGCUGCAUCUCCCUUUCGGUUUCAUAUUCAACAAAAGCAUAUCCGCGCGAAGCACCAGUUACUGGAAAAAUUGCACAAAUCAAAUUACAAAGAUGGACUCUCAUAGCAUUACAGUGUCAAAAAAGUAGAUAGAAACAUAAAAUUCUGCAAGCCAAUAUGCAUACUAUAUUACUAUUCAAGAGCAUUGUAGUUGUAAUGUUGUGAAAUUUUGUACGGAGCUCGAAUUCAAAGCAAAAUUAAGAAGCUCACCAAUGUGCCUGACCAAGCGCAAGUUUUUGACCUGGCCAUACUUGCUCAUAGCCUGAAAACCCAAGUUCAAAAUUCGUUUUUAGACCAAGAACUUCAACUUAGUUGGGUUUCUACCGGUCACAGUUUAACAACUUUCUGCCUAUUUCUUUCUUUUCUCAAUUUUCUGGGCAACCAAACAGAAAGUGAGAGAGAGCGAGAGAGAUGAACCUUGCGAAGAGUGCGUUCGGUAGUGAGAUGAGAAAGGUGACCAACGAAGAGAGUACAAUAAGGGUCGCCGAGGAGUUUGGGGUCCCCCUGGGGGUCAUCUGCAAAAGCAAAAGAGUUACAGGGCCAAAGUAUAAUAAGAACAAGCAAGGGGGAAGAGAUAAGAGAAAAAGGCAAAAAAGGAGGAGAAGAGAGAGUGUGUGGUUACAGAGGCCAGCGGAGGAGCAGAGGAAGGCUCGGUAGACGGCGUUGUCGUGAGGGAGAGUGUCGGUGCCGUCUAUGCUUCCCGCCUGAAUCGGAUGAUACGCCUCCGCGUAGAACACCGCGUUUAAGUUUCCGUUCACGUUUCGUCCGCCCCCACUCAUCGUCGCAUAAUCUGUGUCUUCAGAAGACGAAGACGAAGAAGCAAUGCAAAUUCAUGGACAAACAGGUGGGCUUUAUAGAGGUAUUUUCUGGGCCCAUUUUGUUUUGGGCCCACAUUUUUGUUUGGAACGCAUGGACUCAAACGGGCCAAAAAAAUAUGAUGAUCAGCCCAUGUUUUCUCGGUUUUGAACCGAGGGAGCAUAUUGACUCGUAAAGUACGUGGAUUUUCAAAUGAUUCCAACAACAUGCGGAAUCGAAUUCAUUACAACUGAAACCCUCAAUCCGGGUUCGAACUCCCAUGAAUGUAUUUUGUGUAUCGAGAGUACGAUGUUGUGUAGUUCCAGGACUGUUUAACAAGCGGGAUUAGUCUGCCAUCAAUGUAUGGUGACGGCUAUUAUAUCAGCGUCAACAAACUGUUUAUGCAGCAGCGCCAACACCCUCUCGCUUCUUCCUCUAAAGCUUGUUUAUGUAAAACUCAGGUUCCUUGCCUUCCAAGAUGUGCCUGACAGAUUAGUUUACGAAACAAAAUAAGAUGAUGCAGAAAACAAAUACAAUCGAAUGUAUUAAAACGAGUUAUUAAACUCAGUCAUCAGCUCUGCCCUGCCACAUUCGCAUGGACGGGAAGAUAUAUGCAAGCCAAAAAUCACUCACCCCCAAACUGUCUUUCAAUCUGGGGUUUAGCAUGCGAACUUGCUGAUGCUUCUCAAGCUUCCUGGCGACAUUACUCUUCUUUGCUUCCUCCGUAGUUCCUUCUCCUUCCUGCUUGUACAUAUCAAGAUAGAACUAGUUAGUGUGAUGAUGAAAUGAAAUUGUCAUUCACCUCAUGAUAAAAAAACUUAACACAAUCCAUUGAUCAUGGUAUUGAGCUUAAAAAUUCUCAUUUCCUCCAUCUAAAUUUUGUAUAUUAAGCAUCGUGAAAGAAACUAGGCAAUGGGAAAUCCGGGAAUAUCAAAUGCAUUAUACAGCACAUGAGACGUGGAAACAGCCUCUUUGCUAAGCAAGUUGACUUGGGAUCGCCCAUUCUUUUUUAUAAAGCACAUGAGGCAGCGAUGGUUAGAAGAUUAUGGCAAGUAGAGGAGGGUUAACUAACCACCGGACGAAACAUAGAUGAGUAAUAAAACCCAUUUAGAUUCAUUCAAGUAAAAAACAACAAAUAAAAUAAAGUGCAUGAUUCAUCGUGGCAGCCAGGGCAUCUCACCUGUGCACUCUCCAUCAUUCCAUACCAAGCCUCCAAACUCGGGAAUUGCUUGCCAAGACCUCGUAGUGAAUGGGAUUUUAUAAGAUGGCUAUUGAUUAGCUCUGGUGAAAAUCAGGGUCUGAUGCUCAACUUUAACAUGACUUGAAUGGAGAAACCGUGGCAUUGUAAGUUGAAAUUGCACGGUGAACAUUAGUAACUGUUCUGCGAAGGAUAAAACGAGACCCUUUGUAUUCCUCUGGGAACACAUUUGAAAUCAGCCAGGAAGUUAAUGUCCCCUGGACUAGCUAUAGAGAGUGCUUGCAACUCCUGUUUGAGUAUUUGGUAAAAACUGGGGGGGUUAGCCUUUGGUGCAGAGGAAUUCCAGAUGGCUUGAAUAUCAUAAAUCGAACCUGGGUAGAGAGCUCACAUUGCAUUUAUGUUUUCACCGCCACGAUCAUCUGGAGUUGAAACUUCAGCUGCUGACAUCUUGUAGAGGCUUUCAUGUGUUGUCAAGAAAAUAAGCUGUCAUCAAGACAGAUUUAUUGCUGUUUUACUGUUUGAGGUGUAGUUAGCCUUGAGGAAAGCAGCGAUGACACACAUGAGGGCAUGAUAUUGAAGUUCAUUCUACGGUGGUCUGUUGGAAAACUUGACGCACCUAACUCUCCAGUCCAAGGAAAAAUGUUCAUCCCUGGUGCCCGCUAAAGAUAACUCAAAGGAGGAAUUGCAGACAAGACAGCAAAAGUAAAAGAAGGUAUUUUGGCUCAAUCCCUCGAUCCUUUAGAGGGUGCAUUAUCAUUGAUUUAAAUAGUGUACAAUGACUUGAUUUACAAGUAUAAUUAAUCUACAAAGAAUACAUAAAGGGAAUGUUUUAAUAAAACAGGGAAAUCUGGAAAUCAUGAUGAAACAGGAAACAAUCCCAAGAGAUCAGGAAUGUAUCAUCCUUUACGCCCCCGCAAGCUGACAGUACAAUCAAGUACAGGAAGCUUGGAAACCAGAAGUCGAAAACGAGGAAGAGAAAGGCCCUUGGUGAAGAUGUCAGCAAUCUGAUCAUGAGUAGAAAGAUAACGAACAUCAAGCUCCUUGCGAACAACCUUUUCACGAACAUAAUGGUAAUCUACCUCAACAUGCCGAGUGCGGGCAUGAAACACCGGGUUGGAAGCAAGGGAUAUAGCACUGAUAUUGUCACAGAACAGUGUAGGACAAUGGAGAGGAAACUGGAGGUCACGGAACAGCAUACGAAACCAUGAAAGAGUGGCAGCGGUGAUUGCAAGUUGACGAUACUCGGCUUCAGUGCUGGACCGAGAGACCCCAUUUUGUUUCUUGGCACUCCAUGAGACAAGAUUGGAACCCAGAUACAAGCAAUAGCCCUCGGUGGAACGCCGAUCAUCAGGAUCCCCGGCAUAAUCGGCAUCGGAAAAUGCCGUAAGACGAAAUGAACCAGGCUUGUAGAUAAGACCGUGAGAAGUAGUGCCGACAAGGUAACGAAGAAUGCGUUUGACGGCGGCCCAAUGAGUAGAAGUCGGCUGGUGAAGAAAUUGGCAGACUUGGUUGACGGCGAAGUUGAUGUCGGGGCGAGUGAGAGUCAAGUAUUGAAGGGCGCCGACAACACUUCGGUAUUCAGUAGGAUCCGGCAGAGGGUCACCAUCCUGAAGACUGAGCCGUCGCCCACUAACGGCAGGAGUAGGAACCGGCUUGGCACCAUGCAUUUUGGUGCGGUGAAGGAGGUCAGUGGCAUACUUCUGUUGGGAAAGAGAGAGACCUGAUGGAGUGCGGACCACCUCCAUGCCUAAGAAAUAAUGAACCGGUCCAAGGUCCUUCAUAGAGAAACGGAUGCCCCAAAUUCUUAAUGAGGGUGACAAUAUGAGAGGGAUUAUUCCCGGUGACCAAAAUAUCAUCAACAUAAAUUAAGAGAUAAAUACGAGUUGAGCCAUGAAUAUAGGUAAAAAGCGAGUGAUCCGCGGUAGAGGGACGAAAACCCAAAUCUUCCAAAUGAGUGGAAAAACAUUGGAACCAUGCACGGGGCGCCUGCUUGAGCCCAUAUAAAGAACGACGAAGGCGGCACACAUGAUGAGGGAACUGUGGAUCAACAAAGCCACGAGGUUGGUGCAUAUAGACCUCCUCAGACAAAGAGCCAUGAAGAAAAGCAUUCUGAACAUCCAACUGACGAACAGGCCAUUGAAACUGAACUGAAAGAGCCAAAAUUAAGCGAAUAGUAGAGUGAUUGACAACAGGACUAAAAGUUUCACCAUAAUCAAGGCCGGGUUGCUGAUGAAAACCAUUGGCUACCAAACGAGCCUUAUACCACUGAAUAGACCCAUCAGAAUUCUGUUUAAUACGAAACACCCAUUUGUUUGGCAAAAUAUUCAUAGAAGCAGUACGAGGAACAAGAGUCCAAGUACCAGCACGUUGAAGUGCAUUAAAUUCAUCGGCCAUCGCAGUACGCCAUUCGGGAAAAGUGUUGGCCUGACUAAAGCAAGUAGGCUCAAUACGACCGGUAGAAGAAAUGGCAGCAGAAAAAACAUAUUUAGGAGGCUUAAGAGAAGCCGUUUUUGGACCUGGUGAGCAUACCAUGGGAAAGGAGAGGGCACGGCAGGUGGUACAGCAGCAGAGGGAGCCUCUGGAGGCGCAUCAGAGUGAACGGCAGAGGGGGUGGCUGCUUGUGCAAAAGAAAGAACCCGCCUGUGAGGGUCACGGGAGUAAACCUGGAGGGCCGGCUGUGGUGGGUCGGAUGAUGGACGGGAUUGAUGAGUCUCCAAAGAGGGGGACACAACCACCGGUUGGCUGCUAGACAGUCGGGGGGCACGCGGAAGAGGCCCAGUGAUUUCUAAAAACAGGAGGAGGAGACGAGGCCGGAGAGGACGGGGGCAAGAGAGCCAGAGAUGGCCUUGAAAGGAAAAUUACCUUCAUCAAACACAACAUGGCGUGAUAAAAAGAUGCGAUUAGUAGAGAUGUCUAAGCACCGAUAACCUUGAUGAUUGAGAGACUAACCAAGAAAAACACAUUUAGUAGAACGAAAUUGGAGUUUAUUAUUAUUAUAGGGUCGUAGGUAGGGAAAACAUGCACACCCAAAGGUCUUUAAAAAAAACUAUAAUCAGGUUCUUUAAGAAACAACUUUUGAUAAGGAGACAUAAAACCAAGUACUUUAGAGGGGAGGCGAUUGAGAAGAUAAACUGCUGUGUGCAUGGCCUCAGCCCAGUAGGCAGGAGGCAUCGACGCAUGGGCCAUUAAAGUAAGUCCAGUGUCGACAAUGUGACGGUGUUUGCGUUCCGCCAAACCAUUUUGUUCGGGAUGGUGAGGGCAUGAGAGACGAUGAUGAAUACCAUGGUGAAGAAAAAAAUGCUUGAAUUGAUGACUAGUGUAUUCGCCCCCACCAUCAGACUGAAACAUCUUAAUUUUAGUGGAGAAUUGAUUUUCAACCAAGGUCUUAAAGUGAGUAAAAAUAUUAAAAACUUCAGAUUUUAAUUUCAUGGGAUAAAUCCAAGAAUAACGAGAGAAAUUAUCAACAAAAAGAACAUAAUAUUGGAAACCACUAACAGACUUAUUGGACGCACUCCACACGUCGGAGUGAAUAAGCUCAAGAGGAGCGUGAGUAACAGACAAGGAUGCAGAAAAAGGUAACUUAACACUUUUGCCUAAGGGACAAGAAUGACACAUAAAAGUAUUGAGAUUGAGGUUGCCAGAAACAGGCAACUUAUUCGAAUGCCUAGAAAAAAGAAAUUUUAAAAAUGGAAAAGAAGAUGGAUGGCCUAAACGAGAGUGCCAGACAUCACUACUAACACGAACACCAAGAAAAGCAGCACGACCAUGAGCAGUCGGUGAUGAAGAGGAAAAGGGAUAAAAGCCAUUGCUACUCUUGCCCGAAAAAAGAAUCGUCCCCGUCUCCAUAUCCUGAAUAUAGAAACAAGAAGGAAACAAUGUAAUAUAACAAUUGUUAUCCAACAUAAACCGAUUAGCAGACAACACAGAAGUAGAAGCAUCCGGACAAUGAAGAACAUCAUUAAGCUUGAAAGAAAUAUUAUUAUGAGAGAGAGUGGAGGAGCCAAUACGGUUAAUGGGCAAACCUGUACCUCCAACGACACCACCGACGGAAUCACCACCACGAUAAUCGCGGGACUGAGACAAAGUAUUGAGAUCAUUGGUGAUAUGCGAGUUGGCCCCGGAAUCAAGAAGCGAAGGCUGGGAGUGCUGAGCAGUCAAGGCAGUGAGACAUGAAGAAGGAGGACGACCUUCAUAAGCCAAAUUAAAGCAUUGAGCACAGUCAAGAGCACCAUGUCCAAAAGUAUUGCAAAUCUGGCAGCGAGGACGGGAGGAACCGUGAGAUGGGGCUGGACCAAGAACCCCAGAAGUAUUGUUGGAGCCACGGAAGCGAGAGUCGUCGUGCUGAGGACGACUACCACCACGAUCGCGAAACGGACGGUCAUGGAAACCACCAGCACCGCGAUAGCCACGAUAGCCGUCACCACCAUUGUUGCGAGACCCAUCAUGUUGAGGACGACCACCCCCACGUGAGAAACGGCCAGAGCCACGAUCGCCGCCGCGAUCAGAAGAGAAGCGACCACGAGAGGCAGAAGAGCCGCGGGAGGCUACCAGGGCCGAGACGCUGGAGUCCGGCGGAGCAGGAGGAUCAGCAAGGCGAAGUUCAGCAGCGAGAAGAAGAGCCUCAAGAUCAGGAAGGGAGAUGGGCUUGUCACGGGCCUGAGCAGCAGCAACAGUGUUCUCAAAUUUGGGGCCGACAUUAGACAUGACGACCGGCACCAUGUCAUCAGGAGAAACAGGUGCCCCGGCAAGAGCCAAUUGAUCUGCAAUACCAUUGAUCUUAUCAAGAAAGUCAGAAAUUGAAGAAUCACCUCAUUUGGUCUGGAAGAAAGCAGUACGAAGCUGAAGAAUGCGACUUUGGUUUGUAGAAGCAAAACGCUGCUGAAGAGCAACCCAAACAUCACGGGCAGUGGAAUGACGAGCAGUGGCGGCGAGGGCCUGGUGACCAAGAGAGCCAUUGAUCCAAGAAAGAACAAGCUGGUCCUUCUGAACCCAGUCAGCAUACGCGGGGUUGGGCUUGGGAGAGGCGUUGCCAGUAGCGUCGGACAAGAACGCCGAGGGGCAGAUGGAAGUACCAUCAACAAAAGCCAACAAUUGACGACUGCGAAGAACAGGUAGCAACUGAGCCAACCAAAGAGGAUAAUUGGAAGAGUCAAGUUUGAUGGAGAUCGCAUGAGAAACAGAAGGGAAGAUGUCGGAGGAAGGAGUAGUCGAACUGGUUGAGGCAGCCAUGGAGAAGAGUAGUAAGAAUCCGAAAAAAAAAGACGUUAGUCACUGGCUCUGGAUACCAUAAAAGAUAACUCAAAGGAGGAAUUGCAGACAAGACAGCAAAAGUAAAAGAAGGUAUUUUGGCUCAAUCCCUCGAUCCUUUAGAGGGUGCAUUAUCAUUGAUUUAAAUAGUGUACAAUGACUUGAUUUACAAGUAUAAUUAAUCUACAAAGAAUACAUAAAGGGAAUGUUUUAAUAAAACAGGGAAAUCUGGAAAUCAUGAUGAAACAGGAAACAAUCCCAAGAGAUCAGGAAUGUAUCAUCCUUUACCCGCCACAUCAGGCUUGAGAAUUUCAGGGCUCGGAAAUUGGGUCCUCUGAAUGAAAAUGCCACAAACAGGAGAUGGCCAAACCCAACCCUUCUCCCAAGAAAUGCUAGAGUUGCAAUUGCUCUAGAGUUUCUUAAAGCAUAAAAUGAAACCCCAACGGUUCGGCCACUUGCCACUUCCCAUGGUGCGAGUACCAACUGUGGGUAUCCAACUGAGCAAUUCGUAAGCUACUAGAGCCAUGUCUUCCAUUCCUAAUCAAGCAGGACUACAAAAACCCAUCUCCAUAGCCCCAAAAGCAGCUACAGCCAAACUUUCCCAGAAAUAGACAAUCCAGCCCCAAAGGUAUCAACAACACAUUAACUCCAUCAGCCACAACUCCAUCAACAGGUUGAUAGAAAAUCAGAUCUGAAGCAACAACCAACCGACCAAACUUAGUUGCACUCACAUAUUUGGUGGAGCACUGAUUGCUCUCCUUCAUAACUUCUGAAAUACUUGGAAACUUCCCAAUAUUUGAGCAGCAAAUAAGAUCAAAGAUUACAAAGAUUUCAUUCCAGUAAUGCUUGGAAAAAUCCAAACUUCUUUGAAAUUCAAGAAACCAAGGUUUAUAAGAGCUGUAACAGAUCCAGAAACAACUUUGUUAAUCAAGCAUUCUAUAAUCCCUGAAUAUACUCUAAAAUACUUGGAAGCACCUCAAGCUUUGGACAACCAGAAAGAGUGACAUAUUUGAGGGACUUGAGUUGACAUAUGCUGCUUGGAAGACUCUUAAGUUCUCUGCAGUCCUUAAGGUUCAAAGAAACAAGACCCUUAAGAUUUUUAAUUGACAACGGCAAUUCUCGUAUUGCAGUCCUAUCUAAAGAAAGGUAAGUGAACCCUUCUGUAACUUUUGAAAUCUCAGGAAACUUCUCAAAACUUGAGCAGCCAGAAAGAGAAACAUUUCUAAGAGACUUGAGUUGGCAGAUGCUGCUUGGAAGACUUUGAAGCCUUAGACAACCAUUUAGCUUCAAAGUAUUCAGCCCGGAAAGAUUUUCAAUUGACGAGGGUAGUUCCUGAAUUGCAGUCCCAUCUAAAUAAAGGCACCAGAGCUCUUCCAUAACUUCUAAAAUCUCUGGAAACUUCUCAAGAUUUGAGCAGCCAGAAAGAGUAACAUAUCUAAGGGACUUGAGUUGACAGAUACUGCUCGGGAGACUUUUAAGCUUCACGCAACCUUUCAAGUCCAAAGUAACAAGCUCUGUAAGAUUUUUAAUUGACGACGGCAAUUCUUCAAUUGCAGUCCCCAUUUAAACGAAGACUCCAUAACCCCUUCACAACCAUUGAAAUCUCUGGAAACUUCUGAAAAUUUGAGCAGCGAGAAAGAUUGACAUCUCUAAGGCACUUGAGUUCCCAGAUGCCACAUGGAAGACUUUUAAGACCUCGGCAACCUUCUAGGUUCAAAGAUUCGACCCCGGAAAGAUUUAUAAUUGAUGAGGGAAGUUCUUUAAUUGCUGUCUUAUCUAAACAAAGGUAAGUGAACCCUUCUGUAACUUUUGAAAUCUCAGGAAACUUCUCAAAACUUGAGCAGCCAGAAAGAGAAACAUUUCUAAGAGACUUGAGUUGGCAGAUGCUGCUUGGAAGACUUUGAAGCCUUAGACAACCAUUUAGCUUCAAAGUAUUCAGCCCGGAAAGAUUUUCAAUUGACGAGGGUAGUUCCUGAAUUGCAGUCCCAUCUAAAUAAAGGCACCAGAGCUCUUCCAUAACUUCUAAAAUCUCUGGAAACUUCUCAAGAUUUGAGCAGCCAGAAAGAGUAACAUAUCUAAGGGACUUGAGUUGACAGAUACUGCUCGGGAGACUUUUAAGCUUCACGCAACCUUUCAAGUCCAAAGUAACAAGCUCUGUAAGAUUUUUAAUUGACGACGGCAAUUCUUCAAUUGCAGUCCCAUUUAAACGAAGACUCCAUAACCCCUUCACAACCAUUUGAAAUCUCUGGAAACUUCUGAAAAUUUGAGCAGCGAGAAAGAUUGACAUCUCUAAGGCACUUGAGUUCCCAGAUGCCACAUGGAAGACUUUUAAGACCUCGGCAACCUUCUAGGUUCAAAGAUUCGACCCCGGAAAGAUUUAUAAUUGAUGAGGGAAGUUCUUUAAUUGCUGUCUUAUCUAAACAAAGGUAAGUGAACCCUUCUGUAACUUUUGAAAUCUCAGGAAACUUCUCAAAACUUGAGCAGCCAGAAAGAGAAACAUUUCUAAGAGACUUGAGUUGGCAGAUGCUGCUUGGAAGACUUUGAAGCCUUAGACAACCAUUUAGCUUCAAAGUAUUCAGCCCGGAAAGAUUUUCAAUUGACGAGGGUAGUUCCUGAAUUGCAGUCCCAUCUAAAUAAAGGCACCAGAGCUCUUCCAUAACUUCUAAAAUCUCUGGAAACUUCUCAAGAUUUGAGCAGCCAGAAAGAGUAACAUAUCUAAGGGACUUGAGUUUGACAGAUACUGCUCGGGAGACUUUUAAGCUUCACGCAACCUUUCAAGUCCAAAGUAACAAGCUCUGUAAGAUUUUUUAAUUGACGACGGCAAUUCUUCAAUUGCAGUCCCAUUUAAACGAAGACUCCAUAACCCCUUCACAACCAUUGAAAUCUCUGGAAACUUCUGAAAAUUUGAGCAGCGAGAAAGAUUGACAUCUCUAAGGCACUUGAGUUCCCAGAUGCCACAUGGAAGACUUUUAAGACCUCGGCAACCUUCUAGGUUCAAAGAUUCGACCCCCGGAAAGAUUUAUAAUUGAUGAGGGAAGUUCUUUAAUUGCUGUCUUAUCUAAACAAAGGUAAGUGAACCCUUCUGUAACUUUUGAAAUCUCAGGAAACUUCUCAAAACUUGAGCAGCCAGAAAGAGAAACAUUUCUAAGAGACUUGAGUUGGCAGAUGCUGCUUGGAAGACUUUGAAGCCUUAGACAACCAUUUAGCUUCAAAGUAUUCAGCCCGGAAAGAUUUUCAAUUGACGAGGGUAGUUCCUGAAUUGCAGUCCCAUCUAAAUAAAGGCACCAGAGCUCUUCCAUAACUUCUAAAAUCUCUGGAAACUUCUCAAGAUUUGAGCAGCCAGAAAGAGUAACAUAUCUAAGGGACUUGAGUUGACAGAUACUGCUCGGGAGACUUUUAAGCUUCACGCAACCUUUCAAGUCCAAAGUAACAAGCUCUGUAAGAUUUUUAAUUGACGACGGCAAUUCUUCAAUUGCAGUCCCAUUUAAACGAAGACUCCAUAACCCCUUCACAACCAUUGAAAUCUCUGGAAACUUCUGAAAAUUUGAGCAGCGAGAAAGAUUGACAUCUCUAAGGCACUUGAGUUCCCAGAUGCCACAUGGAAGACUUUUAAGACCUCGGCAACCUUCUAGGUUCAAAGAUUCGACCCGGAAAGAUUUAUAAUUGAUGAGGGAAGUUCUUUAAUUGCUGUCUUAUCUAAACAAAGGUAAGUGAACCCUUCUGUAACUUUUGAAAUCUCAGGAAACUUCUCAAAACUUGAGCAGCCAGAAAGAGAAACAUUUCUAAGAGACUUGAGUUGGCAGAUGCUGCUUGGAAGACUUUGAAGCCUUAGACAACCAUUUAGCUUCAAAGUAUUCAGCCCGGAAAGAUUUUCAAUUGACGAGGGUAGUUCCUGAAUUGCAGUCCCAUCUAAAUAAAGGCACCAGAGCUCUUCCAUAACUUCUAAAAUCUCUGGAAACUUCUCAAGAUUUGAGCAGCCAGAAAGAGUAACAUAUCUAAGGGACUUGAGUUGACAGAUACUGCUUGGAAGACUUUUAAGCUUCACGCAACCCUUUAAGUCCAAAGUAACAAGCUCUGUAAGAUUUUUAAUUGACGACGGCAAUUCUUCAAUUGCAGUCCCAUUUAAACGAAGACUCCAUAACCCCUUCACAACCAUUGAAAUCUCUGGAAACUUCUGAAAAUUUGAGCAGCAAGAAAGAUUGACAUCUCUAAGGCACUUGAGUUCCCAGAUGCCACAUGGAAGACUUUUAAGACCUUGGCAACCUUCUAGGUUCAAAGAUUCGACCCCAGAAAGAUUUAUAAUUGAUGAGGGAAGUUCUUUAAUUGCUGUCUUAUCUAAACAAAGGUAAGUGAACCCUUCUGUAACUUUUGAAAUCUCAGGAAACUUCUCAAAACUUGAGCAGCCAGAAAGAGAAACAUUUCUAAGAGACUUGAGUUGGCAGAUGCUGCUUGGAAGACUUUGAAGCCUUAGACAACCAUUUAGCUUCAAAGUAUUCAGCCCGGAAAGAUUUCCAAUUGACGAGGGUAGUUCCUUAAUUGCAGUCCCAUCUAAAUAAAGGCACCAGAGUUCUUCCAUAACUUCUAAAAUCUCUGGAAACUUCUCAAGAUUUGAGCAGCCAGAAAGAGUAACAUAUCUAAGGGACUUGAGUUGACAGAUACUGCUUGGAAGACUUUUAAGCUUCACGCAACACUUUAAGUCCAAAGUAACAAGCUCCGUAAGAUUUUUAAUUGACGACGGCAAUUCUUCAAUUGCAGUACCAUUCAAAUGAAGACUCGAUAACCCCUUCACAACCAUUGAAAUCUCUGGAAACUUCUGAAAAUUUGAGCAGCAAGAAAGAUUGACAUCUCUAAGGCACUUGAGUUCCCAGAUGCUGCAUGGAAGACUUUUAAGGCCUUGGCAACCUUCUAGGUUCAAAGAUUCGACCCCAGAAAGAUUUAUAAUUGAUGAGGGAAGUUCUUUAAUUGCUGUCUUAUCUAAACAAAGGUAAGUGAACCCUUCUGUAACUUUUGAAAUCUCAGGAAACUUCUCAAAACUUGAGCAGCCAGAAAGAGAAACAUUUCUAAGAGACUUGAGUUGGCAGAUGCUGCUUGGAAGACUAUGAAGCCCUAGACAACCAUUUAGCUUCAAAGUAUUCAGCCCGGUAAGAUUUUCAAUUGACGAGGGUAGUUCCAUAAUUGCAGUCCCAUCUAAAUAAAGGUACCAGAGUUCUUCCAUAACUUCUAAAAUCUCUGGAAACUUCUCAAGAUUUGAGCAGCCAGAAAGAGUAAAAUAUCUCAGGGACUUGAGUUGACAGAUACUGCAUGGCAGAAUUUUAAGCUUCAAGCAUCCUUUUAGGCUCAAAGUUUUGAGCCCCGUAAGAUGUUUUAUCGACGAUGGCAAUUCUUCAAUUGCAGUCUCAUCCAGAUAAAGCUCUGAAAGCUGCUUCAUAGAUACUGAAAUUUCUGGAAACUUCUCAAGAUUUUUGCAGCCAGAGAGAGUAACACAUCUAAGGGACUUGAGUUGGGAGAUGCUACUUGGAAGACUUUUAAGUUGUAGGCAGCCCUUUAGGUCUAAAGUACGAAGUCCUGUAAGAUUUUUAAUUGAAAUGGGCAAAUCUCUAACUGCAGUGUAAUCCAAACAAAGUUCUGAAAGAUUCUUAAUAACUUCUAAAAUCUCUGGAAACAUCUUGAGACUUUUACAGCCAUAAAGAGUAACAUCUUUUAGGGAUUUGAGUUGGCAGAUGCUGCUUGGAAGACUUUGAAGCUCCACGCAAUCUUUUAAGUUCAAACUAACAAGCCCCGUAAGAUUCUUAAUUGACGAGGGCAGUUCUUUAAUUGCAGUCCCAUCUAAAUGAAGCUCUGAGAGUUCCUUCAUAACAUCUGAGAUCUCUGGAAACUUCUCAAAUUUUGAGCAGCCAGAUAGAGUAACAUAUCUAAGGGACUUGAGUUGGCAGAAGCCGCUUGGAAGACUUGUAAGCUCUAGGCAGCUAGUAAGGUGCAAAGUAACGAGCCCAGUAAGAUAUUUAAUUGAUGAAGGCAGUCUUCUAAUUGUAGUUUCAUCUAAAUAAAGCUCUGAAAGCGACUUCAUACCUUUUAAAAUAUCUGGAAACUUAUUGAGAUGUUUACAGCCAUGAAGAGUAAUACUUUUUAGGGACUUGAGUUGGCAGAUACUGCUUGGAAGACUUUGAAGCUCUAGGCAAUCUUUUAAGUUCAAAGUAACAAGCCCCGUAAGAUUUUUCAUUGACGAGGGCAGUUCUUUAAUUGCAGUCCCAUCUAAGUGAAGCUCUGAGAGUUCCUUCAUGAUGUCUGAGAUCUCUGGAAACUUCUCAAAUUUUGAGCUGCCAGAUAGAGUAAUAUAUCUAAGGGACUCGAGUUGGCAGAUGCUGCUGGGAAGACUUUUGAGCUCUAGGCAGCCGGUAAGGUGCAAAGUAAUGAGCCCAGUAAGAUUUUUAAUUGAUGAAGGCAGUUUUCUAAUUGCAGUCUCAUCUAAAUAAAGCUCUGAAAGUUGCUUCCUAACUUCUGAAAUCUCUGGGAACUUCAGCAAAUUUGAGCAGCCAGAAAGAUUAAGAUAUUUGAGAGAUCUCAAAUAAAUGCUGCUUGGAAGACCCUGAAGUCUUUUGCAACCUCUUAAGUCUAAAGAAACUAGCCCUGUAAGAUAUUUGAUUGAUGAAGGCAGUUCUUUAAUUGCAGUCUCGUCUAAAAGAAGCACUGAUAGAUUCUCCAUAACUUCUGAAAUAUCCGGAAACUUCUCAAAAUUUGAGCAGCCGGAAAGAAUAAGGCUUGUAAGAGAUUUCAUACGAAUGCUGCUUGGAAAUUUCCUCAGUUCUUUGCACCCUUUUAGACUCAAAACAUCAAGGUUUUGAAGAGAUGAAAUGGAUGGAUGAACCUCAAAUAAACUCUCACAACCUUCCAGGAAUAAGGUCUCCAGAUUUUUCGCCUCAGUGAAGUCAGGGGUUCUUUCAAGAUACUGUGAGUGGCUUAAAUUGAUGAACUUCAACCUUUUCAAACGCUGUUCAAAUAUCCAGGAAAACAUGGAUUACAUAACAAAGCAUAUGAGAAAUUUGCCAAUUUUAAAGAAAAAUAUGAAAAAGAUGAUUGUACCUUGGUUCCUUCCCAAAGUUGUUGGAUGUUACUAUAUUGCAUGUCAAGGUCAACUAGGUUGUUGGGGUGAAAAUUGGAUGGCAAAGAAUUUAGGGGGCAUCCAUGCCAAAAGAGACACCUCAACUCAUGAGAAAGAUAUUUUAAGUCCCCACUCAGGUGUUGUAUGAAAUCAUGUCCUGCAUGGCAAAGUUCCUCACAGGAAAGGUCUUCGUCAUCAUAGUAUAUAGAGUGGUUAUGAUAUUCGAUACGUAGCAGUCUUAGCCUUGUCAUUCCAACAAAAGCUUCAGCAUUUAAGUAUACUUCUUCUGAUUUGUUUGACAAGUCCAGGACUAUGCUCUCAAUAGCUUUUGUAGCCUGGAUAGAGAAUGAUGGAAUUUAAGUAAGUGCAAAUACCCAUAAGGCCGUAACCAUAUAAUUACGUAUAUAAAAUAAAUACAUGUUUCUAUACUAAUUGCAUAUGAAAAGGACAGUAUGGAUGAUUGUAUCUUACUGUAUUUUGAGUUAACACGGGAUGAACAUCUUCAUAACUCCACAGCCUACUGCAUCUCCCGGGAUCUUUAAUAGAUUCUUGGGGGACAAUUUCCCAACCCAUUUCUGCUAGUAAAUCAUGCAUCUCGAGUGUACCAUAACACGAGAUUGUUACGAGACCUCUAUCAAUUAGAACUCUUAACCCACUAUGAGGAUAGAAGCCACAACCGUCCAGGAUUUUUGUUACAUAAUCUUUUCCCAUUCCUUUAAAGAAACAAGCAAUGUCCAAAAAAAUGUCCUUCUCUGAAUCAUCCAGCCCAUCAAAACUUGUUCUAAGCACAUCCUGAAUUCCCAUGUGUGGGAUUUUCCUUAUCUUCUCUAACACAUCUUCCCACUCGCGUACACUUUUGUUAUCAAGAAAAGCCCCCAAGACUUUGAGGGCUAAAGGCAAACCUUGAGCAUAUUCUAUGGCGUGGCAUGUGAGAUGAUUGUAGUCUCUUGUGGGUUGGUUUGUUCUGAAGGCAUAUUGCAUAAAGAGGUCAACAGCCUCAUCGUCACUUAAAAACUGGGGCCUAUAUAUUGCAUCAACUCCGCUUAGUAAUUGCACAUCUCGUGUUGUUAUAAUAAUUCUACUUCCGCAGCCAAAUGAGCGUUGCUUUCCUAGUAAGCCUUCAACUUGGACUAUAUUGUCCACAUCAUCAAGAACAAGGAAAACUUUUUUCUUAGCUAGUCUUUUCCUUAUCAUCUUGGACCCUUUGUCCAAAGUUCCUAAACUUCGCACCUUUUCCUUCAAGAUUCUGGAUAAAAGCUCUUCCUGCAUAUGUACCGCACCAUGCCUGGAGAAACCUUCCUUGACAUUUUCAAGAAAGCAGUAAGCUUCAAAUUGACAAGCGAUUUCCUCAUAAACAGCUCUGGCAAUGGUUGUUUUGCCUAUUCCACCCAUACCCCAUAUUCCAACAAAGCGAACAUCCUCCGUGCCAAGACAUAAUCGCAAAUUCAUUUCAUCUAGGUGGGAAUCCAUUCCAACCAAGCCAUCACCUUUACUUGACGACAUGUGGAUCAAUUUAUCAAAGAUAUCUUGUACAAUUUCUUCAACAAGCCUUGCAUCAUCCCUGUGAAAUUAAGAAUAAAUAAAUAAAAGUUCAGCAUUUCGUCUGUAAAGAAUCAAAGUAAGUCUUACUGCAUUUGAUAGUAAACAAUAAUACUGUAAUACCAACACCAAUUAAGAGUUUAAGACUGAACAAAGUAAAAUUACUUAUAAUUUCACGAAUCCAAAGAAAAUUUUGCAUCCAAGAAAUCCCAAAUUAGGGAACCAAACUAAUCAGAAUAUGAACAAAGUAGAAUUACUUGUAAUUUCACAAAUCGAAAGUACAAUUUGCACACAAGAAAUCUUAAAGCAGGAAACAAAACUAUAAUUAGACUAUGAACAAAGUAGAAUUAACUGGAAUUUCGGGAAUUGGAAGUAAAAUUUGCAUACAAGAGAUCCAAAAAGAGGAACCAACUCUAUAAUUAGACUAUGAACAAGGUAGAAUUACUUGUUUUUCACAAAUCGAAAGUAAAAUUUGCAUAUAAGAAAUACGAAAAUAGGAACCAACACUAUAAUUAGACUAUGAACAAAGUAGAAUUACUUGUAAUUUUGCGAAUCGAAAGUAAAAUUUGCAUACAAGAAAUCCGGAAACAGGAUCCAAAACUAUAAUUAGCUUAUGAACAAAGUAGAAUUAAUUGUAAUUUUGCGAAUCGGAAGGAAAAUUUGCAAAUAAGAAAUACGAAAACAGGAGCCAAAACUAUAAUUAGCUAUGAACAAAGUAGAAUUACAUCUAAUUUCGCGAAUCGAAAGUAAAAUUUGCAUAUAAGAAAUCUGAAAACAGGAACCAAAACUAUAAUUAGAUUAUGAACAAAGUAGAAUUACUUGUAAUUUCGCGAAUCCCAGCCGGAUAAAUUGCAGGCUCUAGUAAGAGCUGACUUCCAGCUCCGCACCUCCGCCAUCUCAGCCACGGAGUCAAGUUCGUGUCUCGCAAACGCCUCCGCAAAACUCCUCUUGCGCUUGCGGACGUGAGACGGAUCGACGUCGUAGAAGACGGGCACCAGUCUGGUCGUCCGAGUCCAUACAUUCCAGAAUUUGGACGAGUUCUUUGAGGCACCAGGUGGAAGAAGCAUAGUUUGGAGAGAAAACUACGAUCGAGACCCUCGAGUUUCGAAUGGCUGUGAGUAGGUCGGAGAGGUGGUUGCCUUUCCGGAGCUCUUCGGCGUCGAUGAAAGUGUGGAUGGCUUUCUGGUCCAGAGCUCUGUAGAG